GUGUAGUACAAAAGGAGAGCUGUUUAGCACUCCCCUUGAUAAGGACGGAACACAUAAUGAUCACGGCACAACCUUUGCGAAGGUGUGAUCAUAAUUUUUU
rfam:Daphnia pulex DAPPTscaffold_28_Cont1661, whole genome shotgun sequence.